rnacentral:lncRNA from 1 species
AUUUGCGGUGGGGUUUGGAUCGGUUUUGAUGUAAAAAGUCAUCCGAUUAAAAAAUUAAAAUCGCAUGUGGUGCAGUUUGGUUUGGAUGAAUAUUCUAAAAAAAUCCAAUCUCAUAUGAUCCAAAUGUAUGCGAUUUAUUUUGGAUUAGUUUUCGGAUAUCCAAAAUGCAACAUGUAAUAUUUUUUGUUAAUAUUAAUAUUACAAAUACACGAAAAAAA